rnacentral:rRNA from 1 species
CUACUGGGGUUUCUAAUCCUGUUUGCUCCCCACGCUUUCGCACCUCAGUGUCAGUGUCAGUCCAGGUAGUCGCCUUCGCCACUGGUGUUCCUUCCAAUAUCUACGCAUUUCACCGCUACACUGGAAAUUCCACUACCCUCUACCGCACUCUAGCCAGACAGUUUUGGAUGCAGUUCCCAGGUUGAGCCCGGGGAUUUCACAUCCAACUUAUCAAGCCACCUACGCGCGCUUUACGCCCAGUAAUUCCGAUUAACGCUUGCACCCUUCGUAUUACCGCGGCUGCUGGCAC